GCAGUCGUGGCCGAGUGGUUAAGGCAAUGGACUAGAAAUCCAAUGGAGUCUCCCCGCACAGGUUCGAAUCCUGUCGAUUGCG
rnacentral:tRNA from 1 species